rnacentral:rRNA from 1 species
CCUCAAAUCAAGUAGGACUACCCGCUGAACUUAAGCAUAUCAAUAAGCGGAGGAAAAGAAACCAACAGGGAUUGCCUCAGUAACGGCGAGUGAAGCGGCAAAAGCUCAAAUUUGAAAUCCCCCCGGGGAGUUGUAAUUUGAAGAUUGCGUCUUGGAGGCGACCGUGUCUAUGUUCCUUGGAACAGGACGUCACAGAGGGUG